GACGAACGCUGGCGGCGUGCUUAACACAUGCAAGUCGAACGGUAAGGCCCUUCGGGGUACACGAGUGGCGAACGGGUGAGUAACACGUGGGUGCUCUGCCCUGCACUUCGGGAUAAGCCUGGGAAACUGGGUCUAAUACCGGAUAGGACCACUGCCUGCAGGGGUGGUGGUGGAAAGCUUUUGCGGUGUGGGAUGGGCCCGCGGCCUAUCAGCUUGGUGGUGGGGUGAUGGCCUACCACGGCGACGACGGGUAGCCGGCCGGAGAGGGUGACCGGCCACACUGGGACUGAGAUACGGCCCAGACUCCUACGGGAGGCAGCAGUGGGGAAUAUUGCACAAUGGGCGCAAGCCUGAUGCAGCGACGCCGCGUGAGGGAUGACGGCCUUCGGGUUGUAAACCUCUUUCAGCACCGACGAAGCGCAAGUGACGGUAGGUGCAGAAGAAGGACCGGCCAACUACGUGCCAGCCGCCGCGGUAA
rnacentral:rRNA from 1 species